GACGCGGUGGUGGCCUAAUGGUUAGCGCGUUGGACUCCGGAUCGAGCGGUCCGGGUCAGUCGAGCCCUGGCCUUGUUCA